rnacentral:misc_RNA from 1 species
UACGUAGGGCGCAAGCGUUGACCGGAAUUACUGGGCGUAAAGCGCGCGUAGGCGGUUAAGUCAGUCAGAUGUGAAAGCCCAGGGCUUAACCUUGGAAUUGCAUCUGAUACUGCUUGACUAGAGUAUGGUAGAGGGGUGUGGAAUUUCCUGUGUAGCGGUGAAAUGCGUAGAUAUAGGGAGGAACACCAGUGGCGAAGGCGGCACCCUGGACCAAUACUGACGCUGAGGUGCGAAAGCGUGGGUAGCAAACAGG